rnacentral:rRNA from 1 species
ACGGAAGGCAGCAGUAGGGAAUAUUGCACAAUGGGGGGAACCCUGAUGCAGCAACGCCACGUGUGGGAAGAAGCAUUUCGGUGUGUAAACCACUGUCGUGAGGGAAUAAUGCUAUUUCUCGGAAUAGUUGAAUGUACCUCGAAAGGAAGCACCGGCAAACUUCGUGCCAGCAGCCGCGGUAAUACGAGGGGUGCAAGCGUUGUCCGGAUUUACUGGGUGUAAAGGGCGUGUAGGCGGAGCUGCAAGUCAGAUGUGAAAUCCCGGGGCUCAACCCCGGAACUGCAUUUGAAACUGUAGCCCUUGAGUAUCGGAGAGGCAAGCGGAAUUCCUAGUGUAGCGGUGAAAUGCGUAGAUAUUAGGAGGAACACCAGUGGCGAAGGCGGCUUGCUGGACGACAACUGACGCUGAGGCGCGAAAGCGUGGGGAGCAAACAGGAUUAGAUACCCUGGUA